CUACGUGCCAGCAGCCGCGGUAAUACGUAGGGUGCGAGCGUUAAUCGGAAUUACUGGGCGUAAAGCGAGCGCAGACGGUUACUUAAGCAGGAUGUGAAAUCCCCGGGCUCAACCUGGGAACUGCGUUCUGAACUGGGUGACUAGAGUGUGUCAGAGGGAGGUAGAAUUCCACGUGUAGCAGUGAAAUGCGUAGAGAUGUGGAGGAAUACCGAUGGCGAAGGCAGCCUCCUGGGAUAACACUGACGUUCAUGCUCGAAAGCGUGGGUGGCAAACAGGAUUAGAUACCCUGGUAGUCCACGCCCUAAACGAUGUCAAUUAGCUGUUGGGCAACUUGAUUGCUUAGUAGCGUAGCUAACGCGUGAAAUUGACCGCCUGGGGAGUACGGUCGCAAGAUUAAAACUCAAAGGAAUUGACGGGGACCCGCACAAGCGGUGGAUGAUGUGGAUUAAUUCGAUGCAACGCGAAGAACCUUACCUGGUCUUGACAU
rnacentral:rRNA from 1 species